rnacentral:misc_RNA from 1 species
UCAUCUCAAUCCGACAGCUUUGCGGCUGACUCGGAUUGGAUUUGGGAGUCUGCUGGCCCCCUCGGGUCGGCUCUCCUUGAAUGCAUGAGUGAGCAUCUGGCUCGCGUCGCUGGUGUGAUAGUCUUUCAUCAUUGGCGAUGCUUGUCUAACGGGCUUGCUUCCGAACCGUCUUCUCAACGGAGACAACUUCAUUGACAU